UGAUAUACUAGAUAAAUCUUGAUUCGACCUCAGUUGAAUUUUUAAACCUUUGACCCUCAGCCUUUACUGGUUUUGACUAGGCCGGAUUUCAAAACAUUGGUCCUAGGGAAUGAAGAAUAUCUCGCCAUGGAGACUUCGAUGGAAGUUGAAGGAAAACAAUCCAUGUAGACAAUGUUGGACAUCGGGAAAAAUCAAGUCCCUUUGAAAAUCUGCCCAAACUCUUUAGCCUCUAUUGUUUUCGUUAAUUUUAUUUGUUCAGUUGUUUUUCUAGAGACAAAGGCAAGGGUGAAGUUCAAUUCAUUCUUGUUCAAAUCUCCAUUGCCUACCUCAUCAAAGAAGGCAAUGUGGUUUGCUUCCCCAAUGAAGAUUUUUAUUCUCUUUCCAUUCAAAAUAUGAGGAAGAGUUUAUUCCAAGUAGGGGGGAAUGAUCCGGGAGUUAUCUUGUUUCACUGCAACCCAAGAACGAGUUUUUCCCAAGCGAGGAGUAUGACGCGAGGCUUGGAGUUCCAAACAGCA
rnacentral:misc_RNA from 1 species